CAGAUGCAAAAGCAGGACACGGAUAAAUGAGAGAAGACAAGGUAUUGCUCCUACAAGCAGAACAUCCUGUCUUCAAGAUAGAGACUGGAUUAAGCAGCAGUCAAGAGGCAAGGCUACGCUGGACCUCUGUGUCGAAAAUGGACACCUGUACCAUCCACUGAAAAGCUCACCUGGGCGCAGCAGCACCCCAGUGAAGAGGGGACAUGGCGGAACAGCACUCGCCUGUCGCCUUCACCGUGCCUGCGCCCACCCUCGCGUCCCUCCCCUGCUCCCGGAAACACCGAGAGGACCCAAGCUCCGCAGUUAACGGUGGAGCGCCCAGGAGAAGCCCCAGGCCGGACGACACACACCCCGCAACCGGGAGGACGAUCUUCCCCGGGGAAGCAGCGACUGUCCUGACUAGGUUGGCGUCGGACGUGCUCGAAGGCGCAGCUGAAGCGCGACCGAGCCCCACCUUCACACCCCGGCGCACUGCCACAGCCUCCUCUGGCCCCGCGGCUCCCUGACAUGACCCUCAUUCCCUAGGGCCCGAGGGGGAGGACGGUGACCCCCACCCCAACAGGAAACGGAGAAGGACGGCAGGCUCCCUCCGGCUCGGGGGCCGCGCACACCUCCCGACCUGGCGGCUGCACAGGCCCGCGGCAGCCCAGCGCCGCCGCCGCAGCUUCUCGGGCAACAGCUACCCCUAGCGGCCGGAGCGCGCUCCGCGCCCGGCCUCCGCCUCGGAGCAGCUCCCGCCGGCCCGCGCCCACCUGACACCCGCCGGCCCGGGACUGGGCCGCGCGCCGCGGAGCGACAGCAUGUCCGGGCGUAGGGGCAGCGGCCGCCGCUGGGGGAGGAUGCGAGCUCAGCGUGUACGCGGGUUCGA